UACAGAGGUCUCAAGCGUUGUUCGGAUUCAUUGGGCGUAAAGGGUGCGUAGGCGGCUUGGCAAGUCGGAUGUGAAACCUCCAGGCUCAACCUGGAGCCGCCAUUCGAUACUGCCAUGGCUAGAGUCCGGUAGGGGACCACGGAAUUCCUGGUGUAGCGGUGAAAUGCGCAGAUAUCAGGAGGAACACCGGUGGCGAAGGCGGUGGUCUGGGCCGGUACUGACGCUGAGGAGCGAAAGCGUGGGGAGCGAACAGG
rnacentral:rRNA from 1 species